rnacentral:tRNA from 2 species
GCCGGCGUAGCUCAGUUGGUAGAGCAACUGCCUUGUAAGCAGUAGGUCGGGGGUUCGAGUCCCUUUGCCGGCUCCA